rnacentral:lncRNA from 1 species
UCUAUGGGGUGCCGUUCGUGUCAAAACUACUUUUUUUAGAAAUGUUUAAAAUUUAUGCUCAAUUGCACGAGAAUCUAUGAUUAAAGUAGUUGUUUAGCACUUACUGGAUGCAGUGUUUAGCAGUGGAUACAGUGUUUAGCAGUGGAUGCAGUGUUUAGCUGUGGAUGCAGUGUUUAGCAGUAGAUGCAGUGUUAAGCAAUGGAGGCAGUGUUUAGCAGUGGAUGCAGUGUUCAGCAAUUGAGCAUCCUUUACAGAGUCAGUUUAGUUUACAUUAGGGUGUGGCAUCCUGUAUAUAAAUGCAGUGGAUGCAGUGUUUAGCAAUGGAACAUCCUUUACAGAGCCAGUUUAGUUUACAUUAGGGUGUGGCAUCCUGUAUAUGUGCCAUGUCCAUACACAUGUCACAUUCAAUGUAAGACAUGGCCAAACUACCCACAGAAGACAUUGCUAAGGCAGUUUCAGGAGCUGUGUCUUCAGUUUUAUCUAAAAUGGAGGCUGAUAAGAAUAGCGAUGAUGAAGACUUUCAGGCCGAAUGGAAGAGAUUGAAACCCAGGAUAAAGGAGGUUCAAAUUGAAAGUAGUCGGAAAGGGCACGGUGGCCUUGGAGGGACACAGAAAGGAUCACGAGACCCAUUGCAAGUCAAGAGAAGAAAGCUUAUUUUAAAAGAAGGAAGUUUGUAAUUUUAUUUUAGUUAUCAUUAUACUAAGGAUGGAGUUAAUUUCUGACAACAGUAGUAAUGAUGAUUUUGUGGUGAAGAAGGUACAUAUAAGAAAUGAUGAAGUGGAACAGCAGGACCUAGUUUUCGAUAGUCAAAAGACAAUAAUGAUUAUAUUGCCCUAUGAAUGCUGCAUUAAUUUUUUAUAGCAGAAAAUUAUGUUAAUCAAUUGAUGUUUGUUAUUUUACCACUAUUAUAUAUUCCUUUUUUCAUAGAGCAAAACCCACUCUGCCAUCAAUUUUUAUUGGCAAGAAUGCAGAUGUUCAAAGUGACAAAGAGGCUUCUUAAGUAUAAUCACGACUGUUUGCCUGCCAAAAUCUUAUGGACAGUCAACAGUAAUAAAUAUACCAAUGCCUUAUGUUGAAUUAGAGUAGAAUGUUUUGAUUGGAAAGAUAAAGUUAGACUCUAGUAAGUCAGAAUAGGAGAUAUUUAGUGAAGUCUGAUCCGUUUUUUGUGUAUCAAUGAAUCUCAAUCAGAACUUUCCUUUUCACGUUUUGCAGCCUAUGGGUGUACCAAAAAUAAUAAAGUCCCUAUUUACAUAUUCGCAAAGGAAUCACUUCUUAAAGUUAAAGUUAUCUCUGAGUAGUGAAGAGGGUUCUCAAAAUGAGUUGAUACAUUUAACUACUGAAAUGACUAUGCUAUUGAAUGCCACUGUGCCCACAUACAAUGAUUAGAGACUUGGCAGCUAUUUUUAUUGAUAAUAUUGCCAAUGAUUGUAUGUGGGAAUCCAUAGAUUGUCUGAAUAUGACAAUAUUAUUAAUGCCAAUGAUUGGGAAAGUAGCCCUACACCACAUCUGGCUUCAUCACUGACUCCUCUCCCAUCUAGAAUAAACAAACUUCCAUUUUAUAGUGCAAGAGAUGACUCUCCGAGGAUAAUUGUCAAAAGAAAGUAUAUUUUACAAGACACCCUUUACAAAUUACGAAAUGGUUUGGAUGUCAGUGGACAUAUGGUAUUACGAGUUGUAUUUGUUGGGGAAGCAGCUGUGGAUGAAAGGGGCCAUUACGGGACUAUUUCUACUUAUGAAGUCGCAGUAUAUUUUGUGGUUCACCACAUAACAAAGUACCACAGCACAAUGUUUUAGAGCUACAGAAGAAAACUUUUUACUAUAUUGGAGUUUUGUUUGGACUUUCACUGAUUCGUGGUGGGCCAGCAACACACUCUGCUGUAGCUGAUUACAUUGUUUAUGGAGCCUCAAAUGUGAAGGCUGGACCACUUGAUAUGGUUGAUUUUGAAUUAAGGGAAAAGAUUCAAAAGAUUCAGAUUGCAAAAUCUCUAAGCCAGUUAAAGCAGCUGCUUGAUUCAGAUGCCUAUGGUUACGAUAUUAGCAAUGUCAGCUUAAAAAUUUAAACAGCUCAAAUUUUAACAAUUU